UCCCGGGGCAGAGUCCCUCUGUGAAAGCAUCAGUCUCCCCCUUGCUUAGGGUGCAUCCAUGUGUCCUUCUCCCCCUCUAGACAAUGGUCGCCAGGGAGUGGUUCAUGGUGACAUCAAUCAGCCCCGAUGGGGGAAUCUCCUUGUGUAAUAGACACUGCACUGCCCCAGGGAGGGGCUGGUUGGGGGUCUGUGGAAAGUGGGGAGAGUAAGCACUGAGCUGCCUCCAGCUGGGUUAUGGCAGGGCCUGGGGGAUAGAUAAGGAUACCCACUGGCCGAGCAGUGGUGAGGGAGGAUGAGGGGCACAUCACGAAACCCCUGGCUCCCGGGCAGUAUUCAGUAAGUGCUGAUUCCUCCACUGCCAGCUGCACAUGACUGGAGAGCCGAGCCUGGUGGCCCCUCGGGGCAGCCGCGUGUGAGGACAUCCAUACCUCCCCCGGUUUCCAAUCCUGUUUUUUCCACGAUCCUGAUCGUAUCUCCAAUCUGCUGCCCUGGAACCAACGUAGACCUUCAUCUCUGGCCAUCUGUCUGCCCAGGCAGAGGGCACACACACACAGAUGUGCCGCUCCAAGUAAGUUCUGACCGUGGGGAGGCCCUUCCUUCCUUGUG
rnacentral:lncRNA from 1 species